GACAACGCUGGCGGCGUGGAUUAGGCAUGCAAGUCGAACGGUAGGAUACCUUCGGGUAUCUGAGAGUGGCGAACGGGUGAGUAACACGUAGGUGAUCUACCCUCAAGAUUGGGACAACCCAGGGAAACUUGGGCUAAUACCGGAUGAAAGCAGCAGUGAUGUUGUUUGAAAGGUGGCGUAAGCUGCCGUUUGGGGAUGAGCCUGCGCUCUAUUAGUUAGUUGGCGGGGUAAAGCCCGGACCAAGGCGAUGAUAGAUAGGCGGCCUUAACGGGUGGUCGCCCACACUGGGAUUGAGAUACGGCCCAGACUCCUACGGGAGGCAGCAGUCGAGAAUAGUCUACAAUGGCCGAAAGGCUGAUAGUGCGACGCCGCGUGAACGAAGAAGCCCUUCGGGGUGUAAAGUUCUUUUAUAUGUGAGCAGUGCUUUCUAUGUGAACAGCAUGGGGAGAGAGAUAUUAGCAUAUGAAUAAGCAACGGCUAACUCCGUG
rnacentral:rRNA from 1 species